rnacentral:tRNA from 5 species
GGCCCCUUCGUCUAGCGGUUAGGACGCCGCCCUCUCAAGGCGGAGAUCACGGGUUCGAAUCCCGUAGGGGCCGCCA